rnacentral:lncRNA from 1 species
UCCGUAUAAUUUCAGGUAUCGUUGUAACACUUCUCGUAUCUUUUCACCUGCUCCCCACAAAUUUGAUCAUUGAUCAUUAAAUUAACAAUUACAAUAACUUCAGCCUGUGAUUUUCACGUGAGUCGUGAGAAGGCACCCAGUAAAUAGAAAAGAAGCAGAGGAGUCCACUCCAGUAUUCAUAAACAAACAAAAAUUAGAGCACGUUUCAAGUCCGAAUGCUUCAGGACUGAUGAAUGAAUUGUUAAAGUCGGCGUUUAUCAAACCAUGAAGUCAACCAGAGAUGGACUC